AUAAUAAGUAUAAUUUUUGCUUAAAAGUUAAUUGUUUUUAUUUAUUACAUGAUUUUUUUUUAAUAUUUAAUAUUCAGUAAUUAAUUUUAUUUUUUAAAUUAAUUUUUAAUUAGUAAUAAAAUUAAAUUGGAUAAAAGUUGUGCCAGCAAUCGCGGUUAUACAAUUUAUUUAAAUUAAUUUUAUUGGUUUAUAAUUAUUAUUUUUAAUGAUUUAAAAUUUAUAAAAUUUGGGUGGAAUUUAUUUUAUUUUUUUUUCUUUAAUAAAAUUGCUUAGUAAAUUUUAAUUUAAAACUAGGAUUAGAUACCCUAUUAUUUAAUAAAAAUAAUUAUUCCUGGAUAUUAAUAAUUAAUUUUUAUAAAACCCAUAAAAUUUGGCGGUUAAUUAAAUCUUUUUAGAGGAAUUUGUUUUGUAAUUGUCAAAUCACGAUAUUUUUUACCCUUUUUUUUGUUUGUAUACCGUUAUUAUUUAUAUUAUUUCCUUAGAAAUAUUAUUCAAAUUUUAUAAAUUUUAUGUUAGAUCAAGGUGCAGUUUUAUUUAGGAAAAUAUGAAUUACUUUAAUUUUAAAUCAAUUUAGAAUUAGUUUUUAAUUAUAAUUAUGAAAAUGGAUUUAAUAGUAAAUUUAAUUAUUUAGUUAUUUUGAAAAAUGUUCUAAUUAAUGUACAUAUCGCCCGUCACUCCUAUUUAUAUAGGAUAAGUCGUAACAAAGUAAUUGUACUGGAAAGUGUAAUUAGAAUU
rnacentral:ncRNA from 1 species